rnacentral:rRNA from 1 species
CCUACGGGCGGCAGCAGUGAGGAAUAUUGGUCAAUGGGCGGGAGCCUGAACCAGCCAAGUCGCGUGAGGGAUGACGGCCCUAUGGGUUGUAAACCUCUUUUGCCGGGGAGCAAAGUGCCGCACGUGUGCGGUUUGGAGAGUACCCGGAGAAAAAGCAUCGGCUAACUCCGUGCCAGCAGCCGCGGUAAUACGGAGGAUGCGAGCGUUAUCCGGUUUUAUUGGGUUUAACGGGUGCGUAGGGGGACGCUUAAGUCAGCGGUAAAAUUGCGGGGCUCAACCGCGUCGGGCCGUUGAAACUGGGGGCCGUGGGUGGGCGGGAGGUACGGGAAAUGCGUGGUGUAGCGGGGAAAGGC